rnacentral:rRNA from 1 species
CACGUAGGGCGCGAGCGUUGUCCGGAAUUAUUGGGCGUAAAGAGCUCGUAGGCGGCCUGUUGCGUCCGCUGUGAAAGCCCGGGGCUUAACCCCGGGUCGGCAGUGGAUACGGGCAGGCUAGAGGUAGGUAGGGGAGAAUGGAAUUCCCGGUGUAGCGGUGAAAUGCGCAGAUAUCGGGAGGAACAUCCGUGGCGAAGGCGGCCACCUGGACCAGCACUGACACUGAGGCACGAAAGCGUGGGGAGCAAACAGG